rnacentral:rRNA from 1 species
AUGCGUGGUCAGGUGAUUUUGUCGGAUAAGCCUGACAAAGUUAAAUGGUUACUCACAAACUCCGGUAGCUUUUCCGUUAAAUCUCUGUAUCACUAUCUUAUAGCUAGACAAGUUGUUUUCCCUUUUAAAAAACUAUGGAGGAUGAAGAUGCCUCUUAAAGUUAAGGCAUUCUCUUGGUUAGUAAUCAAAAAUAAGAUUCUGACCAAGGACAAUCUGAGUAAAAAAGGCUGGAAAGGUGCUAAGUUUUGUGAAUUUUAUGACUGUGAAGAGAGUGUGAAUCAUUUAUUUUUCUCUUGUUCCUUAGCUAAGUUCCCGUGGAAUAUUGUGGGAUGUGCUCUAGGGAACCAGAGAGCUCCAAUGUCUUUUUUCAACCUAUGUCAGAACUGGUUAUCUAGCUAUACUGGCAAAGAUAGAGUAGUUGUUUUAUUGGGUACUGCUGCCCUCUUGUGGUCUAUAUGGAAAACAAGGAACAAAUAG